AAUCAAAGUACAAUAGUUGUUUUUUACACGUUUAAAAGGAUAAGAGGAAGGAUUACUACAAAUUAGCGCUAAUCUAUCCUUUUUUCUUUUCUCCCUCAGAGAACGAACAAACAAACAAACAAACAAACAAACAAACAAAACACACCACAAACUGGAAUAUGCUGAAAAGCGUGUUAUUGAUGGUGUUGUUCUAUCCACUAGUGUUAAUAAAUUUACUGGUUGGCCCAUUGUGGAUGGCUGAAUACGGGCAGGCAAAGCGUCAGGCAAGAGAGAUUGCGAUGAACGUAAGUAAGGAAGCGGAGGUUGUAGAUGAAAAUGGAAUGAACCUGUUCAAACUAUGUUCAGUAUGGCUUGUCGUAAUGGUAUUUAGUAAUUUUGUUCUUCUCAUAUCGGGAAUUCUUGUGUUGAAGCAACUUUUAAAUGUUGAAAGAUAUAGUACAAUAACAAAAUAUUGUAUAUAUCUGUGCCUUUCACUCCAACUAUUAUCAUUGAUAAUAGCCAGUAUAUAUGUUGAUAGAACAAAUCGCUUGACUGAAUUUCUGCCUCACCUCCAUAUCCUAAAAUAUGUGACGUUUUAUCCGGCAAUCGCUGCUUUUCAGCUAAUUGUCCUAUUUAUUUAUUAUUGUAAAGUUUCUAGAGUUUGUCAAGAAUUACGCCAAAGAAAUUCGCCAAACGCUGAUAUUUUAGUUAUCUCAAUUAGAUCAAAUCCUCAUCAUUCAGGCAACGAAAGGUAAACAAAAACAAACAAACAAACAAACAAACAAACACGUAUACUCUUUUCUUUCUUUCUCUUGUUGUUUUCUUUUUUAAUUAAUUUGUCUUCUUCUUCUUCUUCUCUCUUCGCCGCCAAUCAUCAAUCUUAACAAAAUACUCGUAUUACUUUUGGCCGGGCAGAACUAUCGAAAGAUUAUCGGAACAGUACGAAAUGCAAGACAGGUAUAUCGUUUGUUUCAGUUUUUUCUUAAUCUAUUCCAUUCUAUUCUAUUCUCGUAAAGUAGGGACGAGGGAUACGCUGCAGGACGUAGUUCAAUGCACCCAAUAAUACCAGCACCACGAUACGAAGACUGCAUUCGGAUGACAAACGUUAGAGGUGAAGAAUCUCCGCCGCCUCCUUAUCAAUCUAUUAUGCAAGGUGCACAAACAACUGUUUAAUUGAAACUCUUUCAGCGCUGUUGAACUGACAAACAUUUCUUGUUUUAUCGUUGAUUAUCUUCUUUAAGUGAAUGUUGACUGGAGAAAAAGUCUAUGUUUUUGCUGCUACUCUUUUCUCAGUGUAAGACUUUUAAUUAUUUUCAUUCAAUUCUUAUCAUUCCCGCUCAAUAAAUUCAACAAAUGCGCGCUUCCUGUUUAUUGUUGUGCUUUGAAGAGACGCCAACUGGUGAUGAUAUAGGGUUAGAUCGUUCUCUUCUUCCUAUCACAUAGGAAAGUUUCAAGAUAGUUUUGUUCAGGAAACGAGAAUUCUCUUCAAGGAGAAUUCAGAAUUCCCAAUUCAGGAUCAUGGCUUUUAAUAAUAGAAUUAUCUAAUAUAAUUUCAUUUGUUUCUAGGCCUUCUAAAUUACGAGUAAACUAUCUCUAUUCUCUAUGUUUCCAUUCAAUUCAGACUCUCUCUCUCUCUCUCUCUCUCUCUCUGAGCGAUACUAAGCAAACAUUAAUAGUUUUCUCUGUUGGCGUCGAGGUACUUUCCCGAAUCUAACGAGAACCGACUGUGGUGGCCUUUUUCUGAUUUUAUCCCAAGCCUAACUGGUGUGGAAAAGUUAGAAACGUAAACAUUGGACAAAAAUUUUCGUCAUAUUAUCAAAUAGAAUUCCAAAAUUUUGGACACUGUCCCUUCCGCGGGACAACGAUAAGAUAGUAUCAAGUACAUUUACUGGUUGAGAUAUUUGAAUGUUGGUAUUGUUGUCAAUUGUUUGAAAUGACUGUAAGUUCUUUAAAGCUGUUGGCAUUGAAUUGUGUAGGAGAAAGUCUACAUUUGUUGAAUGGGUUACGUGAAAAGAAUUCCUUAUAUAUACCAAGUUAUCUUGCAUCUGAAAUAUUUCAAUUUGCGAUAAAUGGGCAAAAACCAUUCGUCGAGAAACAGUUGGUUUUCUUUGAAAAUGUUUGUUUUUUUCAAUUGGACCACAUUUCUUUGAAAAAACGUAAAUUCAAUGGAAUUGAGGACUUCCGUUUUCUAAAUAACUGUUCAAUUGAGAGUUUGUCAUUAAUUAACUUUCAUUCAAUGUUCAAUCUACCGAUACCUUUAUCAAUAAAAAGUUUGAAAUUUGAACGCUGCCUAUUUGGAAAGGAGGAAUGUAAGCGAUUAGGUACGUUGUUAUCCAACUGCCAUUCCAUACAGUCGUUCGCUAUGACAAGCAAUGACAAUAUGGAUUAUAGUUUUCAAUACAUUUGCAAUGGAUUAAAGUCGUCCGCUAAUUCCCUGUUGGAAAUCAACUUUUCCAACUGUUGUUUAACGCGUCAACACGGCUAUUUCUUGGGAAAUUUAUUCAAAGUUUGCACCAAGUUGAGAGCGGUUAACAUCAGAGCGAAUAGAGAGUUGAGAGAUGGAUUUGCAGAAAUAUUCAACGGUUUAAGGCAGUCGUCCGAAUCGUUAAGGACACUUGACUUUUCAUUUUGCAACCUAGUCGAAGAACAGUGCUCGUCGUUCGGCGAUUUUUUAAGGAAGUGCGACAGCUUAACCGAAAUUAAUCUUUUCGGCAACAUCAAUCUCGGUAGGGGGUUUCGGAUGAUUUGCAAUGGAUUACAAUCGUCGUCUAGUCGUACACUAUCCGCCAUUAACUGUGACCAAUGUCUCCAUACCGAAUUGCAGUGUUCGUGGCUUUGUGAUUUGUUGGCGGAAUGCCAUUCAUUGCAGGAUUGCAAGUUUAAUAAUAAUGAAAUGUCACCGUACAUGAUUGGGCAAGUGCUGAGUCGUUUGACUGCCUUUGGCAAUUCCUUGUUGAAGAUCGACCUCAGUUCGAUGAAUCUGUGGGAAAAUGAAAGUUGCUUGGCGUUGGGGAACUUUUUUGAGCAGUGCACUGCCUUACGUUCUGUGGAUUUGUCUAGUAAUGGAGAAUGGGGAAAGUCGUUCCGAAAGAUAUGCGAAGGAUUAAAGUCGUCCGCUCAUUGUCUUCAACGGAUCAACUUGUCUAAUUGCGAUUUUUCCGAACAGCAAUGCAUUUGGCUAGGAGAGUUUCUAAACGAAUGCUCUUCGCUGGAAGACUUUUUUAUGGCGGAGAAUAGGAACUGCGGAGAAGGAAUUAGGAAUAUAAGUCAGGGCCUAAGAUCGUCGGCGCAUCGCCUGUUGACUGUCGAUUUUUCGGAUUGUAGCUUAAGUGCAGAACAAUGCGUUUGGUUGAGUGAACUCUUGAAGCGAUGCGACUCGCUACAAACCGUCUUUCUAGAUAGGAAUCCAGUCUGGAAAUUGGGAUUCGAGAAGAUAUGUUUUGGUUUGAAAUCUUCGUGUCGUUCUCUGUUGAACAUUUCGUUGUAUAAAUGCGAAUUGAGCAGAGACCAAAGUGUUUGGUUAGGCAAUCUGUUGGUGGAAUGUAUAAUGUUGCAACGGAUACACCUAAGCUCUAACGAACAGUUUGAUAUGGGAUUCCAGAGAAUAUGUAUGGGAUUGAUAUCGUCGGCUCAUUCUCUUACAAGUGUUGAUUUUGAAGGUUGCAAUUUGAGCGGGGAGCAGAGCUGUUGGUUGGGCAAUUUCCUAUUCGAGUGUAAUUCAUUAAGCGAAAUUAACUUGAGCGAAAACGAUAAUCUCGGCAAAGGAUUUGAGAUGAUAUGCAACGGAUUGAAAAAUUCUCGUUAUUCUCUCUCAAUUGUUAGUUUAAAGGGUUGUCGGCUUAGCGGAGAAAAAGACUAUUGGUUGGGUAAUCUCUUUAACGAAUGCCAGUCGUUGCAACGAGUCAAUUUAAGUAUGAACGGUAAUUUUGGCGAAGGAUUUAGGUUAGUGUGCCAAGGCCUCAGACGUUCGUGUUUGUCACUUUCGACUAUUUCUUUUGAGGGAUGCGGACUAACGAUUGAAAAUUUGAGACAUUUGAGCGACUUAUUGGCAGCUUGCACCUGUUUAGAACAAGUUAAUUUGAUUGGCGUGAAUAUUAAUUUAGAAUUAGAAGCGAUAUUAAAUGGAUUGAUGAGUUCGUCGAAAUGCUUGAAAAUGUUGAAAUAUACAAGGUGUUCAUUGAGUGAAAAUCAACGGCUAGAGAUGUUUAACCAUUUGAAAAAUAUGGAAAAGAUACAUGCAAGUUGUUUGUAUUAUUGAUUGAUAAAAUAUUUUUGAACACAAUACAAACAAACAAACAUGAUUGAAUAUUGAAAAGUGGCAAUGUUUUUUCAUCAUUUAGAUGGGGGAACAAUGAGUUGAGAAAUCUAUUUCGUACGUGUACAAUAUAUAGAAAAUAUCGUUCAUUGUAUUUUCAGUUAAUUGAGAUGAUACAUUGUGCAACAUUCGAAAACGGGAAAAAUGACAUCUUUCUUCUGUAGUUGAAUACAUCAUACUUUCACAUUCGUUGUCUUCUAUACAAGAAUAAUAGCAUUCCAAAAAGCCUACGUUGUUUAUGGCGAAAUAUAGUAGAUUGGUCUUUAUCCGCCUAUUCAUUUUCUCCAUCCGAUUGAAUGCUAUUCAAUACAAAGAGUAGAUAUUAUACAAUUCAUAGUUAUACAUAUUUAGUAUACUGUAU
rnacentral:misc_RNA from 1 species